UACGGAGGAUGCGAGCGUUAUCCGGAUUUAUUGGGUUUAAAGGGUGCGUAGGCGGACUGUCAAGUCAGCGGUAAAAUUAGAGGCUCAACCUCUUCCCGCCGUUGAAACUGGUGGUCUUGAGUGGAUGAGAAGUACGCGGAAUGCGUGGUGUAGCGGUGAAAUGCAUAGAUAUCACGCAGAACUCCGAUUGCGAAGGCAGCGUACCGGCAUCCAACUGACGCUGAGGCACGAAAGCGUGGGGAUCAAACAGG
rnacentral:rRNA from 1 species